ensembl:lncRNA
GUUCUGCUCCCACAACCCAGGAAAAUGACUCGUCUGCCCCCUAGCGGCAGUUAGGAGCCUUGCAUUUAUUUGACGCAACAUGCCAAAAACGUGUGUUUGCUUAUUAAUCGCUGAUUGUAAGAUAAACACUUGUUAAGACAAAACGCUGAUACAUAAAUAAAAAAACACGAAUAAUUAACACUAACAAUAAGUUUGUUAUGUGGUUAUGUGCAAUUCCUAUUUUAUUUGGUGUAUUUGUUUCUUCUGUGUGAGGCUGACAUUUAUCUAAUCAAGGGAGGGGGCACUUAGAUUGAUGCGGAUUAAGUGUGGGAUUGGAUGGAGAUGGGAUGAGGGGCUGAUUGAUAAUUGCUGUGAUUGGAAGUGUAAUCCCUCUUUUCCUCUCUCUGUGACACCGCCCACACUCUGGAUUAUUCCAGCCCGGCACACGGGCUGUAUGAGAUGUCCUGAUGUCUGUUCGGUGGAGUGUGAUGGGAACAAAAUGCCGCUAAUGACAAUAACUAGUGGCUGUGUAAGAACAUGGCUCUGCAAAGACUGAAAUGUGUUUGUCAUGGAAGCUGCUGACCUGGCACCUGACAGGGAGUGAAAUGUCGCCACAUUGGAACAUUUAAUCAGGACUAUUUCCCUUUGACUUUAUCGGAAUAAGUAACAUUCACUGGAAACAUGAACAACUACACGAACAGCGGGCAGCCAUUCCAGUAUUUAGUGCAUAACGUGGAGCCUCUGUAUAAGGAGUACAAGCCUCCUCCCAGGGACCUUAUCCAGCUCCCCAGGUCUGUCAUCUACCUCCUGAUGGCCGCCCUGGUUGUGGUUGCUGUGGCGUAUGCUAUUGUGGGUCACCUCAUUAAAGAUCUCAUGCUGGACAUAACAGACUGUUUGCUGGGCCCACUUGACGAGGACCUGAGAAAAGACCGAGAGAUGGAGGGGGUCAGUCCUCUGCACAUGCCGCCCGCCCUCAGCCACUCGCACCCAAAUGCCUUUCACGUGUGGGACCAGGACGACGUCAUCAUCCCAAUGACUCCCCCGGACGAGAGCCCACAGACGAGCCCUCUGAUGGCAGUCAUCCCAUACAUACCUUCAUUUUUCCCCACCUCCCUCAGCAUUGCCAGUCCAUCCCACAAUCAUCCCAUCCCAAGGGAGAGUGACUCAUGAAUGAAGGCGUGUGAGACGGUUUUCUAUACUGCACCCGUAAUCCUUCUUUUUCGGCCCUUUCUCGCUUUGGUUGAGCUUUAGCUCCCUGUUUUUGCCUCUGAAGCACCUUUACUCACCUACUGGAAAAGGAUGUUGGGAAAGAUUCCAUUAAAAAAGUGUUAGUAUCACAAAUCCAACAGCAUCAUAUGUUGAGCAUGAAUUUCAGCUUUAAACAACAAUGAAGGCCAGUCUGGAUUCACGUCUCUUCACAUCUCUCGGUGUGACUGGUCUGUCUUUGACAAACAACACCUCCCCAGGAUCCGAGUGCAGACUGAGCUGGGGACACUCGGUGGGAUGGCCUUCACUUGUUCAUUUUCUCAGUGGAUUUGUGCCAAGUCAGCAUCUUGAUUAUUCUCCUUCUGCCAGAUGUUCACGUCCGUCCAAGCUGUGGUCAGAUGCAGGAUGUUGUCUUGCAAACGUCAGAUGUAGCGGAGUAACCCAAAGUCACUAUAACUUCAGAUCUGGACAUGAGCAUGACUGCAUAAUGUAAAAACAAUUCCACAAUAUACAUACAAUCUUCUCCGUCAGUCUAAGUGGUUUUAUAUACAGUGUACAUGCAAAAGUGUGUGUUGAAUUCAUGUGUGAAAUAAAGGUGAAUACUGGAGUUGCCUGAGGUAACGC